GGAUAGCUCAGUUGGUUAGAACGUGGUCUGGUAACUCCAAGGUUGCAGGUUUGAUUCCUGUAUGAAACA